rnacentral:rRNA from 1 species
AUACGGAGGAUCCGAGCGUUAUCCGGAUUUAUUGGGUUUAAAGGGAGCGUAGGUGGACAGUUAAGUCAGUUGUGAAAGUUUGCGGCUCAACCGUAAAAUUGCAGUUGAUACUGGCUGUCUUGAGUACAGUAGAGGUGGGCGGAAUUCGUGGUGUAGCGGUGAAAUGCUUAGAUAUCACGAAGAACUCCGAUUGCGAAGGCAGCUCACUGGACUGCAACUGACACUGAUGCUCGAAAGUGUGGGUAUCAAACAGGAUUAGAUACCCUGGUAGUCCACACAGUAAACGAUGAGUACUCGCUGUUUGCGAUAUACAGUAAGCGGCCAAGCGAAAGCAUUAAGUAUUCCACCUGGGGAGUACGCCGGCAACGGUGAAACUCAAAUGAAUUGGCGGGG